rnacentral:rRNA from 1 species
GAUGAACGCUGGCGGCGUGCCUAAUACAUGCAAGUCGAGCGAACGGACGAGAAGCUUGCUUCUCUGAUGUUAGCGGCGGACGGGUGAGUAACACGUGGAUAACCUACCUAUAAGACUGGGAUAACUUCGGGAAACCGUAGCUAAUACCGGAUAAUAUUUUGAACCGCAUGGUUCAAAAGUGAAAGACGGUCUUGCUGUCACUUAUAGAGGGAUCCGCGCUGCAUUAGCUAGUUGGUAAGGUAACGGCUUACCAAGGCAACGAUGCAUAGCCGACCUGAGAGGGGGAUCGGCCACACUGGAACUGGGACACGGUCCAGACUCCUACGGGAGGCAGCAGUAGGGAAUCUUCCGCAAUGGGCGAAAGCCUGACGGAGCAACGCCGCGUGAGUGAUGAAGGUCUUCGGAUCGUAAAACUCUGUUAUUAGGGAAGAACAUAUGUGUAAGUAACUGUGCACAUCUUGACGGUACCUAAUCAGAAAGCCACGGCUAACUACGUG